UACGUAGGGGGCGAGCGUUGUCCGGAUUUAUUGGGCGUAAAGAGCUCGUAGGCGGUUUGUCGCGUCGGCCGUGAAAUCUCACGGCUUAACUGUGAGCGUGCGGGCGAUACGGGCAGACUGGAGUACUGCAGGGGAGACUGGAAUUCCUGGUGUAGCGGUGGAAUGCGCAGAUAUCAGGAGGAACACCGGUGGCGAAGGCGGGUCUCUGGGCAGUAACUGACGCUGAGGAGCGAAAGCGUGGGGAGCGAACAGG
rnacentral:rRNA from 1 species